GAGUCUUGUUUCUGAUUCCAAAUUAUGCAUGCUUACACACAUUAAUUCUGUCACCUGGAUCAUAGAUUCAGGGGCAUCUAAUCAUAUGACACAUGAUAAGAACCUACUCUUUAACAUCAUACCUUUGACUGUUCCUUAUCUUGUAACUGUGCCUAAUUGUUGCAAAGUGAAAGUAACUUGUACAGGUUCUUUUGCAUUACCUUCUUCCCUUACUCUUCACAAUGUGCUUCUGGUUCCUUCCUUUAAACACAACUUGAUUUGUGUUCACAAGUUGGUAAAACAAUUGCACUGUAUAGUUUUGUUUACUCCAACUUCCUGUUUACUNNNNNNNNNNNNNUAAACACAACUUGAUUUCUGUUCACAAGUUGAUAAAACAGUUGCACUGUAUAGUUUUGUUCACUCCAACUUCCUGUUUACUUCACAUGAUACAAGACCCUUCUCUAAAGAGGCCUCUGGAUCUUGGUAAAGAGGAAGCUGGCCUAUACAAACUGUCUUGGGUGCCUA
rnacentral:lncRNA from 1 species